GUGGACAGGAAAUCACCAGGAGAAUUUUAACUUUUCAGGAAAGCUGAUGAAAGAAUGUGAGAAAACCCAAUUACCUUCCAGCCACUAGUUGCUGCACUUCAUCACAAGCAAUGACUAAAAUUAUGCGCCAUAUUGGACACGGUUGUCACAUUACUUAGUUUAACGGGAACGGACUUCACCUGCACCGCGUUAAGUGAGACGUUUUUGGCUACAUAGACUUACGGCUGAAAUGGACGUAAAUGCUCUCGAAUUGUUGAGGAGUUAACUACAUUACCUCCGCCAGCCUCUGUGGGCCUCUCAGGACUGGGUUAACUCGCACCAUAAAGGCACCCUGUGAACUCCCGACCUGUCGGUUCCACUGUACAACACCAUGGCCCCGGGACAGACAAGCUAGAGUGGAGAGACACAGGUGGACUAGCCCACACUCCCAGUAGGACGGCUCACGUGGUGCCUCCAUUUUGGUGUGAUGGUCGGCGAUUUCUAUCUACAGGAUUGCGAAGAGCUGCAUGGUGAGACAGGUGAGAAAGUGGCAGCAACCUUGGACCCCCCCAUACUGGCCUCUGACCCCUUCGACUUUGACUGGCAGCUCGUCGUACUUCUACA